GAUGAACGCUAGCGGCAGGCUUAACACAUGCAAGUCGAGGGGUAGGGAAAGCUUGCUUUUCUGAGACCGGCGCACGGGUGCGUAACGCGUAUGCAAUCUACCUUUCACAGAGGGAUAGCCCAGAGAAAUUUGGAUUAAUACCUCAUAGUAUUAUAGAAUGGCAUCAUUUUAUAAUUAAAGAUUUAUCGGUGAAAGAUGAGCAUGCGUCCCAUUAGCUAGUUGGUAUGGUAACGGCAUACCAAGGCAACGAUGGGUAGGGGUCCUGAGAGGGAGAUCCCCCACACUGGUACUGAGACACGGACCAGACUCCUACGGGAGGCAGCAGUGAGGAAUAUUGGACAAUGGGCGCAAGCCUGAUCCAGCCAUGCCGCGUGCAGGAUGACGGUCCUAUGGAUUGUAAACUGCUUUUAUACAGGAAGAAACACCUCUACGUGUAGAGACUUGACGGUACUGUAAGAAUAAGGAUCGGCUAACUCCGUGCCAGCAGCCGCGGUAAUACGGAGGAUCCAAGCGUUAUCCGGAAUCAUUGGGUUUAAAGGGUCCGUAGGCGGUCAGGUAAGUCAGUGGUGAAAGCCCAUCGCUCAACGGUGGAACGGCCAUUGAUACUGUCUGACUUGAAUUAUUAGGAAGUAACUAGAAUAUGUAGUGUAGCGGUGAAAUGCUUAGAGAUUACAUGGAAUACCAAUUGCGAAGGCAGGUUACUACUAAUUGAUUGACGCUGAUGGACGAAAGCGUGGGUAGCGAACAGGAUUAGAUACCCUGGUAGUCCACGCCGUAAACGAUGGAUACUAGCUGUUGGGAGCAAUCUCAGUGGCUAAGCGAAAGUGAUAAGUAUCCCACCUGGGGAGUACGAACGCAAGUUUGAAACUCAAAGGAAUUGACGGGGGCCCGCACAAGCGGUGGAGCAUGUGGUUUAAUUCGAUGAUACGCGAGGAACCUUACCAAGGCUUAAAUGUAGAUUGACCGUUUGGAAACAGAACU
rnacentral:rRNA from 1 species